CCUACGGGAGGCAGCAGUGAGGAAUAUUGGUCAAUGGGCGCGAGCCUGAACCAGCCAAGUCGCGUGAGGGAAGACGGUCCUAUGGAUUGUAAACCUCUUUUGUCGGGGAGCAAAAGACGCCACGCGUGGCGUUCCGAGAGUACCCGAAGAAAAAGCAUCGGCUAACCCCGUGCCAGCAGCCGCGGUAAUACGGAGGAUUCGCGCGUUAUCCGGAUUUAUUGGGUUAAAAGGUGGCGCAGGCGGAAGAUCAAGGUAGCGGUAAAAUUGAGAGGCUCAACCUCUUCGAGCCGUUGAAACUGGUUUUCUGGAGUGAGCGAGAAGUAUGCGGAAUGCGUGGUGUAGCGGUGAAAUGCAUAGAUAUCACGCAGAACUCCGAUUGCGAAGGCAGCAUACCGGCGCUCAACUGACGCUCAUGCACGAAAGUGUGGGUAUCGAACAGGAUUAGAUACCCCUGUAGUC
rnacentral:rRNA from 1 species